rnacentral:rRNA from 1 species
AGUGAACGCUGGCGGUAGGCCUAACACAUGCAAGUCGAACGGCAGCACAGUAAGAGCUUGCUCUUACGGGUGGCGAGUGGCGGACGGGUGAGGAAUACAUCGGAAUCUACUUUUUCGUGGGGGAUAACGUAGGGAAACUUACGCUAAUACCGCAUACGACCUACGGGUGAAAGCAGGGGAUCUUCGGACCUUGCGCGAUUGAAUGAGCCGAUGUCGGAUUAGCUAGUUGGCGGGGUAAAGGCCCACCAAGGCGACGAUCCGUAGCUGGUCUGAGAGGAUGAUCAGCCACACUGGAGCUGAAACACGGUCCAGACUCCUACGGGAGGCAGCAGUGGGGAAUAUUGGACAAUGGGCGCAAGCCUGAUCCAGCCAUACCGCGUGGGUGAAGAAGGCCUUCGGGUUGUAAAGCCCUUUUGUUGGGAAAGAAAAGCAGCAGGUUAAGACCCCGCUGUUCUGACGGUACCCAAAGAAUAAGCACCGGCUAACUUCGUG